AAUCUGAGUGUGCGGCUCGUGCGGUUAGGGUUGGGUCCCUCUCAGUCCUGUUCCCAGAGAGCUCAACCCGUGGGAAGUUGGCACUCUCAAGAGCUGCCGGCCUGCUCUCCUCUCCACGCGUCUGGUCAACACCCCAGCCCACUGACCCUGUCCCAAGUACCCCAGGAAAGUAUUUCCAUUUUCUUUUUACACACAGGACCCCUGAAGUCCUGCUCUGUGCCCACCUCCGUGUCAAGGACAGCCUGUCUGCUCCUCGUCCAGUCCCACGUAAGGCUUUAGUGGGCUUUCCUCCUCUCGCCCUCAAAAUGCACUGUCUGCUUGCACUUGGACCCGGAGUCAGGAACAUAAAAGUGAGAACAGUGGGAGGGGGAAACUGGUGAGGGUCCAGUACUUGAUUGGGGUUAGAGGUGGGGCGGGGAGCAGGGUGGGGUGUGGUGGGGAGAGAAGGCGUGUUCAUCGCCCCUGGGGACCAGGCCUUCGGAAUCUCAGCUUUCUGGGGGAGCCUUGUGGGACCUCUGGAGCCAAGAUUUAGUCUUGUCCUGUCCGAAGGCGCGGGCAAGGUCCCGGGAUAGGCAAGCGGGGAUGAGAGGGCACGUCGAUAAAGAAAGACACCUCGAGGGCAAAGAGGAAAAAGCACAGGGCAUGAGACUUUUGAAAAAGCAAAAGCGGGCAUCCUGGACCGGAGAAGCCGGACUCCAGCCUGUCCCGGCCUCGCCAUCUGGGUCUUUGUCUCCCAGCCCUGGCCCAUUCUUCCCGCCCCGCCUUGCCUCUUUGCUUAUAACUUGGCUCGAUCCCAUAGCUCAGACCUUCCAGGUCCGACCCACUCUCGCUGGUCGGACCCCAGAGGACGUACCCACGUGCUAAUGUCUCCCCCUGCUGGACUUCCAUAGCACUGCGGGCGCCUGGGAUAAACCCGGAGCUUGCCAUAGCACAAGACCUGGGACAGGCGUAGCCUUGGCAAAAACCGUCACCCUGUAUGGGGAGGAAGGGAAAGAACUAGAAGGAUAUCUGAGUUUGGGGUAGGCUUAGGGACUGCCAAGAAUACAAGGUCUCCCCACUUUUUCUUUAUGGAGAUAAUUAGAUGAGCAACAUUCCCAAAGUGCUCCACCAUUCACACAGUUUCAUGUCCAUCAUCUCGCUUAAUAGGUGACUGAGCUACUGCGUUUCUCAGUGGAUCCUCUGAUGAUCUUUGUGGCUGUAGAGGUGGGAAUAGCCCAGAUUUUGUCUUUUUAUUUUCUCCCAAAUAGAGGAGAAAAUAGGGAAAAUCUGGGCCCUUCCCACUUCCAGGGGCAGCCCUUGAGGGUGAAGUGGCUCUGGGUAGGUAGGGAAAGAAGGAGCUGUUUGGGGUCUCUGAGCUCUCAGCUGGACCCUGCAUUGGGGUGUAAGGAAGGAGAGAUGAGAUGAAUAGGGUGUAGGGACACACCAGUAGUCUAGCUGGGAGACUGGGAUCCCUGGAGUGCAUGCUAGGACAUCAAAACCUGAAUACAGAAAGCAGCCUGCUGCUUACUGAGUGCCUACUAUUGUCAAGAACCAAGUUAGAUGCUUUUCCUUUCAUAACCUUUUGAAAUGAGUUUCAGUAUCCCCAUUUUACCUACAGGGGAAAGUAAGGCUCAGAGAGAAGUGACUCAUCUGAGAUCACCAAGCUGAUCAGUGGUGAAAGCAGGAUUUGACUCCUGGGACAUCUGUCUCCAAAGCCUGUGGCCAUUCCCCUGUACCAUACUGGCUCAAAUUCCCAGCCAAUCCUUGCUUCUUUGCUUCUUUGGUUCAUUCCUGGUUAAGGCUGGGUCGUGCAUGGACAGCAGCAGCCUGGGGCUGGCCAGGACUCUUCCCUCACUGUCCUUCAAGAGGUUGCCAGGCCUGGAAAGUUCAUCUAUAUUCCUGGCCAUAGCCCAGAGUUCUUCUCAUCUAAGACCACCACUGCCAACCCUAGAGCCAGCCUUGAUUCUUCCUCCCCACAGCCAGCAUGCCCGGUGCCCCACAGGAGGAGAGCCCAAGGCCAGGUGGGGGAUGGGGAGAUGAGGCUAUGCGGCCAGUCUUGGGAAACAUGGGAAGACAAGCAGUUCCUGAGUGUGCCAGCACCUAAUCCCGGUGGGCAGGGUGGCAGAGGAAAUGAGAAGAAGACUCUUUAUGUCCAGACCUGCUCCACAUGCUACUUAUCCCUGCUCACAGCACAGCCUUUCUGCCUCAACCUGCCCACACCAGCUACAGGGGCCUCAGGAGCAGAGCUGAGCCUACUCCCUGCCAUGGCUAGGCCAGUGAUUCCAGGUUCCCACCUCCUGACCCACCCUGGCGGGGCCUCAGAUGUAAUGAUUCAGGCCCCCGAGGUAGGGAAAAAUUACUCCCAAGGGAGCCUGAGAGGAAGUCAGGAUCUGUGAGCAAUGGGGGCCCUCUCAUCCAAGCCCUCCCUAUACCAUUGGCAGUCACUCCCCACCCAUUUCUCCCAGGUUACUGUGUCAUUACAAACACAUCCACGCACGUGCUCACACACACACACACACACACAACUAUCAGGUUUCAAGUCCACCAGCAUUUCCUGAGCAGUGCCUCUGUGCUGACCUCUGAGCGGGGCCAUCCCUGUUGACACAAAGAGCAGCUCCAACAAGCCCUGCCCACAAGGAACACCAAACACUGAUACCUGUAUGUGGGGGAUCCUGGACCCAGAGAUGCAGGAGAACAUCUGGCAGCUGCAGGAAGCCUCGGGCAUCGUGCAGCCCUGGGAGAGCAGAGCUGCUCCUUCUGAGCUCAGCUUCCCACACCCAUGAGCAGCAGGGAGGUAUAAACUUCAGAGCCACAGAGUUCCCUGCUUAUGAACUGUGUCUCCUUGGGCAAGUCAGUUCACCUCUGUGUGCCUCAGUUACUUGUCUGUAACCUAGAGGUCGUCCCUCAUUCACAGAGCCGUGGUGACGGGUGAAUGAGACAAUGCAUGUGAAGGGCUUAGUAUCAUGCCUGGCCCACUGUGGUACUUACUAAAUGGAAACUCUUACUCUUCUGCAGAGCCUCCCACAGAGACACUCUCAUCCCCAGUCACACACGUUCUCACCUGUUCACACAUGCUUUGUGUGGCACAUGCACAUUUUUUAUCUCCUCUCAUAUUCUCACACACUUGUACAUAUAUGCACACAAACUCUCAUUCUUUCUCACCUAUCCAUUUAUUCAGCAGAAGGUGGCAGGACCGGGUACUGUCCUCGUGGAAUUUAAAAUCUAGCCCCCAGAGUUUCUCAUGUUCACUAUCAUCUACACAUGUGUAUGAACAUGCACACACCUUUCUAUUUCUGUGGCCCUUGUCCUUGACUUCUCCCUGCCUGCCUUGCACUCUGAGACACAGAGAGGUGAAAUAACUCACCUAAGGCCACCCAGCCAGGAAGUGGAAAAGUCAGGAUGUAAACUAGGCCACACUGAUAUACCAAGGCUGUGGAAAGGAGUGUGUGCCAAGGUGUGGGCCUGGGAAAGCCAGCAGGCCCAGCCAGAGCUAACAGUUAGAAAAGCAGACUGAAGAGUCAGGGAGCAAGGAUCCUAACUUGAGGUCCAAGGCAUUGCCAACUGGGACAACCCAGUGGGGCUAGCAACCCUCUCUCUUGUCUGCAGUCAUCUCUAGCCUGCCCCAUGCCUCCUAUUUUCCUCCUAGAAGACCUACUACCUGUACCUGCACAUCUCACAUACACUGGCACCUAUUCCCUACAAGGAGAGGGAGAGCUACCAUUUAUUAAACACCUACUGUAUGCCAGGCAGUGUGGCUGGGUGCUUUCACCUGGUGCUCUAUUAUGUUUGUUUAAUCUUCACAACAUCCCUGAGGUUGAUAUUGAUAGACCUGUUUUAGAGAUGAGAAAACUAAGGCUCCAGGCUCAAUCUGGCUGCAUCCUCUGCUCCACCAACCUCAGUCUGCAAAGUGCUCUUUUGCUCAGCCAGCUUAUUCCCACCACCCCCUUCUCUGCUGUCCUUCCCUCUGCCCACACUUGCCUCCUAGCUGAGACCAGCUGGGGUCUAUGCUGAUCUUGGGUUGCCCUUUCUCUUCAAUGAAUACUUUGCUUUUUUCCAAUUCACCCUAUCUGUAGGUCAGUCUCUGGGCAAGCCUGGGGUGGGACCUGAGACUUCCCACUCUUCCUCCUUUCCCCACGUGGCUGCAUCAUACCCCAGGGCUAGGUGAGAUCUAGCCUCAGGCGGGUAAGAUCUGGAAGUCUGUUUUCACUGCACCCACGAGAGUUCCCGGUGGCUGGGGAAGAAGGGGGUCGUCCCAAAGGCCAAAGGUUCAGCCAGACUCUCUCCCCAGCCCUUCCCUGUCCCUGCCCCAGCUGCAUGCCUGGUUUAUGGGUAUUUGCACUGAGAUCAUCUUGAUUUGCCAGAUGCUAGCCUGUGUCAGGUUGAUGGCAGAAUGGCACUAGGGAUGGGAGGAGCCCCUCUCUCCCUCAGAUGGGUCUGGUCCCCCUCCCUCCUUCUCUCUUUAUCUCCUCCUCAUACCCCUUACCCCUACCCUGGACUCCUAGACAUCUGUCCCAAAGCCUCAAGCUCCAUGCAGGCAAAUGACCUGCCCCCCUGUCCCUGUAAGAGCCUGAAAUAGGGCAUCUGAGAGCCAGAGCAUGGCUUGGUGUGCAUAACAGGUGGACAAGCCUCUGAAGGGCAGCUGGGACCCUGGGCCCUCAGAGGCCUCAUCUUCAGAAACCCCUGCCCUGCUGGGUUUCACUGAUCUAGGCUCAGUUUCCUCCAGUAGUGCCCCUGUCCUCUGCUCUCCAGCCCAGCAGGAGGCAGCCUAGGUAAGGGUAAGCCUGUUGCUCUCUUGCUCUGGUUACCUGGAGAAUGUGCAAGGCUAGGCUGGGCCAUUCAUCACUGUCAGGGGCACAGGAAUUCGAGGGAAGGGAGCAGCACCUGUCCUCAUCUGUCACUGACCCCAGCCUAGCUCCUCAUCUCAGAGGGCCAGUGGGCCUGGGGGAGGGCGAUGGGAUGCAUCUUUGCCAGGUCCUCCUCCUGGUUCCCGAGUGAACACACUAGACACGUCAGGCCCCACAAACACCGGGAAUAAAGUUCCUAUGGAGGAACACCCCAAGCCGAGAGUGCAUUUGGGCAACCGAGGAGCAGAGGGAAGGACAAGCUGCUUCCUCAGUGCUCCAGCCCCCUAGCUCUGAGCCCUCUCUGGACUCCGAGCUAGCAUCCUGCCUCCCACCCAACCAUGGAGGUUAAAGGGUCAGGUUCUGGGCUUUCUUGGCUGAUAACCCCAGGCCUACCAGGAGAGAGACCACGAGCCUCUUGGGGCAUCCCGAGGACAGAAUAGGGGCUGGACCCAGCUGGCCAGAUAACCACUGGCAGAUAUAUGGCACCCAGGCCCACCACCCUCCAGCUGCCCCUCAGCCAACCCAGCCAGGAUGUCUGACACCUCCCCUCCCCACUCACAAUUUAGUCUAUCUUGGUUUAGAGACCUUCCUUCCCACCUUCAAUGAGGAAGGUCCUGGUAAGGGCCCAGUCUCUAAGCCUUUAGUCUCUCAACCAAGCCUUCCCCGCCCCACCCCCACCAGACAUCCUCCUCUCCAGGGCUGCCCAAAGAAGUGUUGGGGUGAGGCUGAGGCCCUGACAAACCUCGAUUGACAAACCACUCAGCAUCUUCCUCGCCAGGAAGCCAGCCCCUCAGAGGAACAUCAAUCUCCCUGGCCUGGCUUGUUUUUCUUCCACAGCCUUUCUCCAGGACACAAAGCAGAGCCUGCGGCAGCCCCUGCCUUAACUGGGAAGGGUGGGGUGUGGAGAGGGAGGGAACUUUCCUCCUGGGAUCGGUGUCCCUGGCAGAGGUGCAGAAUACAGGAAGUUUGGGAGCUUCUGCACUAACUUAGUGCCUGAAGGAAUUAGGGCUCCAAAGACCAGGGAGGGAGAGGGUGUGAUCUUAGAGGUGAGGAAAAGAGGCAGUAAAAGAGGUGAGGAAAAGAGACAGGUUAUUGAAUCAAAGUGGUGGAGUCCCCAAGCAAUCUUUUCCGCUCCCUAGUAGCCUGCCUAUUUCUCAAACUCUGUCGACCUCUGAUGGCCAGCUAAGUAUUUGCAUCCCUAAAGCUGAACCAGCACUGAGCCUCGCCCCCAGCAGCCGAACAGAAGACCGGGACACGGCCAGCUUCCGGUGCUGGCCUGGGCUGAGCUAAGCCAGGAACGCCCUCGUUUCUCCCUAUCCUCCCUCCAGACACUGGAAGUUAAUCUAUUCAGGCCUGCCUGAGCACCCACCUCCUCUGGACAGCCUUCCUGGAAGGCCCUAGCCCACAGGGACUGUUCCUCUCUUUGAGCUCCAUAUUCUGACUGUACUGCCCGAGAUCUCCACUUGGAUUUUCAUUAUUUGUGUACAUCUUAGCUGUCUCACUAGAUACUAACCUGGGGCAGAAACCACUGACUGCUUCUCCUUUAUCUUUAUGCAUCAAGGCCAAGCAUAAGGAUGGGCAUACAGGAGGCACUCCACAGAUGCUAAUGGUGAUGGUGAUGAUGGCAGCGGUAGUGGUAGUGACAGCCACUAUUUAUUGAGCACCUACUACAUUCCAGAUUGUUUGUAUCCAUUUUCUCAUAAGAAACUCAUUCUAUAUACAGACGAGGAAACUGGUGCACUCAGAAGCCAAGUGACUUAAAUAGUGUCUCCCAUCCAGUAAGCAACAGAACCCAAAGUUUUAUGCAGGUCUCUCUGGCUCCAAGCCACAAAUAUCUACAUCAGCCACAUGCCAGACACAGCCUUUAUUCCUGGGAGGGACACGGAGAUGACUGCAGCUCAGCCCCUGAUGUCAAGGAAUGGUGUUGGCCACAGCAAAGACUUGUAUGCUCCAUGGAACAUGGAGGGACUAGCUCUGCAUCCUUCCUCCUGCUCCCCUCUCCUCAUCUCAGGGAAAGUCUUCUCUGGUUUCACCAUUUGACAGAAGGACAGAUUGCCCAGGCCAGAUGAGCAGUCUCCCAGAUCCUGUCACACACAGAGGCUAUAGCUAAUUAGGACACUCCUACAGACAUCAGAUGCGUGAAAAAGUCAAGAAUCCAGGACCGAAGAGGGAGAUUCCAACAGAGAUCCUGCCAGUCUCUCCCAGGAAUAAGCAUAGGUGAGUCCAGUUCACAAACACUGCUGGGCCUCCCCUGACCCUGGCAGGUUCCAGGACCUGAGACUUAAAGAGAUGAGAGAGACACUCAAGUCACUUCCCCUCACCACAUGCCAUUUCCAGUUAGCCACCAAUCCCAAACCAACAAGCACGUUUGAGUAGAGGGCUCACCAACCCCACCCUCACUCUUGUCCAUGGCUCCCUGAGACAUUUUGUCUCUCUCCAACCUGGUGAUCUUGGAGGAAACUGAGGCAGGUCGCCCUUACCUUCUCCCCUCCCCAUGGAAGCCACUCACCUGAGACUCUCUUUCAGUCACUCAGUUCUUAGUAGUCGUUGGUGUGAAGAGUCAGCUCUGGCUAGUAAGGAAAAGAGCCCACUGUGGGGGUCUGAGGUGUUCCAACCCUCCUCUCCUUCCCUUGCCUGCUC
rnacentral:lncRNA from 1 species